rnacentral:rRNA from 1 species
GUGCACCAGUCGAGAAAACUUUACAAUGUGCGAAAGCACGAUAAGGGAACUCUGAGUGCCUCCUAAGGAGGCUGUUCAGGUGUCUAAAAAGCACCUGGAGUAAGGGCUGGGUAAGACCGGUGCCAGCCGCCGCGGUAACACCGGCAGCCCAGGUGGUAGCCACUUUUAUUGGGUCUAAAGCGUCCGUAGCCGGUUGAGUAAGUUCCUUGGGAAAUUUGGCUGCUCAACAGUCAAGCUUCCAGGGAAUACUGCUCGACUUGGGACUGGGAGAGGUCAGAGGUACUCCAGGGGUAGGGGUGAAAUCCAUUAAUCCCUGGGGGACCACCGGUAGCGAAGGCGUCUGACCAGACCAGGUCCGACGGUGAGGGACGAAGGCUAGGGUCGCGAACCGGAUUAGAUACCCCUGUAGU